ACCCUGGAUAGCUCAGUUGGUUAGAGUAUGGUGCUGACAAUGCCAGGGUUGCAGGUUUGAUCCCUGUAUGGGAUG